ncrna:unclassified sequences RT-5 RNA
UAGCGCCUGUGACGGGUCCGGCACGUAUCUUUUCAGGCUUCGCAGGCAGCCGGUACGUGUACGAUCUUGUACAUUCAAGUAUUUACUUGAAUUUAAUGAUUUCU